rnacentral:rRNA from 1 species
UACGGUGGGGGCUAGCGUUGUUCGGAAUUACUGGGCGUAAAGCGCACGUAGGCGGAUCAGUCAGUCAGGGGUGAAAUCCCGGGGCUCAACCCCGGAACUGCCUUUGAUACUGCUGAUCUGGAGGAUGGGAGAGGCGACUGGAAUUCCUGGUGUAGCGGUGAAAUGCGCAGAUAUCAGGAGGAACACCGGUGGCGAAGGCGGCGUUCUGGACUGCAACUGACACUGAUGAACGAAAGCCAGGGGAGCAAACGGG